UACGUAGGGUGCGAGCGUUAAUCGGAAUUACUGGGCGUAAAGCGUGCGCAGGCGGUGUGCCAAGCUCGAUGUGAAAGCCCCGGGCUUAACCUGGGAAUUGCAUUGAGGACUGGCGCGCUCGAGUGUGGCAGAGGGGGGUGGAAUUCCACGUGUAGCAGUGAAAUGCGUAGAGAUGUGGAGGAACACCGAUGGCGAAGGCAGCCCCCUGGGCCGACACUGACGCUCAUGCACGAAAGCGUGGGGAGCAAACAGG
rnacentral:rRNA from 1 species